AUGUAUUGUGCGGUGAAUUGUAUUGAAAAUCCUUAUAUUGCCAAUUACAUAAGGAAAAGAAAACAAAUAGAAGAUGAAGAGAAUACUAAUGAAAGGGAAGAGGCUUCCCAAUCUCCUCCUAUUAUUUCUUAUGAUGAAUCAGGUAACGGGGAGGAGCUUUCUAUUCAACCAAUCUCAUCAAUAAGGAGCUCAAAGAGGAAGGUUGAACCUACACAUAAUGUGAAGAAGAAAAAGAAAAGAAGGAGAAAGAAAGGUAAAAAGGUAUCCCUCCCAAAUGAUGUUGCUCCUACUACUCAUUGUGAUGAUGAUAAUUGCUAUACUAUUGGUGCUAUCAAUAUUUUUAAUGAUGAGAGUGAUUAUGCUUAUGAUAUGAAAGGGCUCAAGCUUGGGGAAGCUAUGUUUGAUUGGGAUGAAAUAUUUGAGAAUAUAUUUGCUGGAAUUAAUGUUUGUCCCAAGCUUGGGGAUGCUAUGUUUAAUGAAGAUGAUAUUUUUAGCAUCCCAAGUUUUGAUAUGCAAAGUUGUUAUGAUGAUAGCAUGCCUCCUACCUAUGAUGAUUAUAUUGAUGAAAGUGGGUUCGGAAGAGAGUCAACUUUAGGAAGUAGUAAUCCCACUAUUUUGGAGGAUGUUGAAUUUUAUUGUGAUGAAUACGAAAGUGGAUUCGGAAGAGUGUCAACUUUAUUUAGUGAUUCCACUAUCUUGGGAGAGGUUUCAAUCGAUUAUGAUGAGAACGAAGUUGCUACUUAUGAUGAUUAUUGUGAUGAAACUUAUGCUAUAAAAAGUAGUGACGAUUAUAUUUACAAAUCUUCUCAUGAUUAUGAUUACCCUUUUUAUGAACGUUACUCUUUUAAUGUGGAAGCAAUUUUUAGUGUUCAAGUCUCUUAUGAUACUCCCACUAUUAUUCAUGAGAAGAAUUUUGCUUAUGUGGAGAGUAGUGAAUUUUCUAUGCAAGUAGAUCAUGAAAAGAAUGCUUUAGGUGCUGGUUAUAUUGUUGAAUUAAUUCAUGAUGCUACUGAAAAUUAUUAUGAGGGAGGAAUAUAUGCUUGUAGGAAUUGCAAUAAUAUCAAGUUUCCUCUCUAUGUGCUUAAAAUCUUGAAGCUAUGCUUGUUUUACCUUCCUAUGCUUGUUGAUUAUUGUUCCCAUAAGUUGUUUGCUCACAAAAUCCCUAUGCAUAGGAAGUGGGUUAGACUUAAAUGUGCUAGUCAUAUGCUUCAUGAUGCUCCCGUUAUGUUUCAAUUCUUAUCUUUUAUGUGA
rnacentral:rRNA from 1 species